rnacentral:lncRNA from 1 species
CCGCGUCCGGCCAAGGGAGCCGAGUCCGGCGAGGGACGGCGAGGUUAAAAGACACACAGGACACCAAGGUUCUUCAUCCAGGAGUCAAUAAUAAUCUUUAUUGCUAACACACCUUUUUUUAUACCCCAAGCAGCAGAAGUGGAAAACUACCCAAAAGCAGGAGGGAUGGGGGAGAAAUUUAGUUUCAACAUCUAUUAUUGUCAGGUACCGAAACCUCCCUUAACAAUAAGUCCAUCAGACCAGAAAAGGUCAAGGCAUUCCCGUGGGAUACAUAUGUCUCAGACGGAUAAGCAGGAACAGGAAAACCGCAAGUUCGCCAUGGCCUUGUGAGCUGGCCACACUGGCAUGCAGAACAAACUAGUGGAGGUAGGGCUCCAGGGGCCAAGGUGGACCUGUUGCCAACAAGUCCCCCUCUUUUGUUUUUUGCAUGCCAGUGGGAAUCAAGUAGCCCCCUG